GACGGCGACUGAUUGAUGGAUUUGACCUUUUUUGCUGCGUUCCAUCCUAAAGAAUACUUUCAUAUUAAAAUUUUUAGAUAAAUAAAUUGUAUAGCAGAUUUCUGUUCUUUUUCACAGGCACUGUGCAAAAAACACAAGCCAAGACACAGGCAUGUAAUCUGAGUGACAUUUUAGCAAUCAAAUAACAUCCUGUUGGAAUGCAAGAGUAACUCUGGAUAAGAACACUGGAAAACAUCAGAACUGAAGAAGACAGUCCAUGUGAACUGUUUGCAUGGAUAAUAAGCAUCAGAGGUGGUCUGAGAAGGCAGUAGCUAUGACUGUAGACGAGGACUACAUGAUCCCUCACCGGCAUCUCACCUCCUGGAAAUGCCAGGACUUAAACCACUAAAUCUUUGCAGAGG